CAGCAGUAGCUUGCGAUAAAGUGUCGAGGUCACGAUCUAUAGGUGCAGAACAAUCCAAGGAGUAGAGGACCCCGAAUGUCUCCUGUUGACAGCAAUCGAACUGCAUCAUCAAGGAAGCAUUGCACAUUUGUUUGACUUUCAGGACAAUAAAGCGACUACCAAUAUUCAGUGAAGUCGAUCAUGGUUGAAUGUGACGUGAUCUGCGCACAGGUGCGCUCUCUGCAGAUCACCAGCUGUCGUUCUUGUCGAACACAUCAAAAUUUUGUCCGGAAAGGAACUUAACAAAGCUUUCAAAGAUUUUAGAUGCAUUGGAUAUCGGCGAAUA
rnacentral:lncRNA from 1 species